GGUACUGAGGGAGGCUGUCCGUGGUGAGUUCGCCUUAGGCGUUGAUGCCCAAUACACGAUCGACCUCUUUGGUAUC
rnacentral:pre_miRNA from 14 species